UCGGAGGGCCGCUUGCGGUGCUCGCGGACGAGAGGAAAGUCCGGACACCAAAAGGCAGCAUGCCGCGCGCAAGCGUCGGAGGUUCUGGGGCAACCCAGGGCAAUGGAAAGUGUCACAGAAAACAAACCGCCUGCGGGAGUUUCGGCUUCUUCAGGUAAGGGUGAAAAGGCGGGGUAAGAGCCCACCGCUCCGACAGUAAUGAAGGAGGCAUGACAAACCCCAUGCGGUGCAAGACAGAACAGGAGAAAGGCCCGCCUGGCCGCAAGCCUUCGCAAGAAGGUGGAUAACUCCGGGUAAUAGUCGCAUCCUGCGUGAGCAGGAGUCGGUGUCUCGCUUGCGGGAGGCCGUCAGAUAAA
rnacentral:RNase_P_RNA from 1 species